rnacentral:rRNA from 1 species
AUAUACGACCGUACCGCAAACCGACACUGGUGCGCGAGAUGAGUAUUCUAAGGCGCUUGAGAGAACUCAGGAGAAGGAACUCGGCAAAUUGACACCGUAACUUCGGAAGAAGGUGUGCCCUAUUAGUGUGUAGUGAACAACGAAGCAUGAAUGGGUUGCAAAAAAUCGGUGGCUGCGACUGUUUAUUAAAAACACAGCACUCUGCAAACACGAAAGUGGACGUAUAGGGUGUGACGCCUGCCCGGUGCUGGAAGAUUAAAUGAUGGGGUGCAAGCUCUUGAUUGAAGUCCCAGUAAACGGCGGCCGUAACAAUAACGGUCCUAAGGUAGCGAAAUUCCUUGUCGGGUAAGUUCCGACCUGCACGAAUGGCGUAACGAUGGCCACACUGUCUCCUCCUGAGACUCAGCGAAGUUGAAAUGUUUGUGAUGAUGCAAUCUCCCCGCGGAAAGACGGAAAGACCCCAUGAACCUUUACUGUAGCUUUGUAUUGGACUUUGAACAGAUCUGUGUAGGAUAGGUGGGAGGCUUUGAAGCAGGGUCGCUAGAUCUUGUGGAGCCAACGUUGAAAUACCACCCUGGUGUGUUUGAGGUUCUAACCUAGGUCCAUUAUCUGGAUCGGGGACAGUGCAUGGUAGGCAGUUUGACUGGGGCGGUCUCCUCCCAAAGCGUAACGGAGGAGUUCGAAGGUACGCUAGUUACGGUCGGACAUCGUGACGAUAGUGCAAUGGCAUAAGCGUGCUUAACUGCGAGACUGACAAGUCGAGCAGAUGCGAAAGCAGGACAUAGUGAUCCGGUGGUUCUGUAUGGAAGGGCCUUCGCUCAACGGAUAAAAGGUACUCUGGGGAUAACAGGCUGAUACCGCCCAAGAGUUCAUAUCGACGGCGGUGUUUGGCACCUCGAUGUCGGCUCAUCUCAUCCUGGGGCUGUAGCCGGUCCCAAGGGUAUGGCUGUUCGCCAUUUAAAGAGGUACGUGAGCUGGGUUUAAAACGUCGUGAGACAGUUUGGUCCCUAUCUUCCGUGGGCGCUGCAGAUUUGAGGAAGCCUGCUCCUAGUACGAGAGGACCGGAGUGGACACACCUCUGGUGUAUCGGUUGUCACGCCAGUGGCAUUGCCGAGUAGCUAAGUGUGGAAGAGAUAACCGCUGAAAGCAUCUAAGCGGGAAACUCGUUUCAAGAUGAGAUCUGCCGGGGCCUUGAGCCCCCUAAAGAGUCGUUCAAGACCAGGACGUUGAUAGGUCAGGUGUGGAAGC